rnacentral:rRNA from 1 species
UACAGAGGUCUCAAGCGUUGUUCGGAUUCAUUGGGCGUAAAGGGUGCGUAGGCGGCGCGGUAAGUCGGGUGUGAAAUCUCGGGGCUUAACUCCGAAACUGCAUUUGAUACUGCGGUGCUUGAGGACUGGAGAGGAGACUGGAAUUUACGGUGUAGCAGUGAAAUGCGUAGAUAUCGUAAGGAAGACCAGUGGCGAAGGCGGGUCUCUGGACAGUUCCUGACACUGAGACACGAAGGCCAGGGGAGCAAACGGG